rnacentral:rRNA from 1 species
UACAGAGGGCUCAAGCGUUGUUCGGAUUCAUUGGGCGUAAAGGGUGCGUAGGUGGCGCUGUAAGUCGGGUGUGAAAUUUCGGAGCUUAACUCCGAAACUGCAUUCGAUACUGCGGUGCUUGAGGACUGGAGAGGAGACUGGAAUUCAUGGUGUAGCAGUGAAAUGCGUAGAGAUCAUGAGGAAGACCAGUGGCGAGGGCGGGUCUCUGGACAGUUCCUGACACUGAGGCACGAAGGCCAGGGGAGCAAACGGG